AUAGGAGGGGUUCAGCUGCUGGAGGUGCGCAUGCUCCAUGCCAUCCACGGUGGGGGCGGGAGGACAAAGCUGAUGUUUCUGCUGCUGCCUCCGUGUGAACCAAACCCCAGUUCUUCUCCUGAGCUGCAAGUAGCCACCCCCAGGAUGCCAAGAGCCAGGCACAGAUUCUACCUCCCAGCAGCCAACCGCACCUCCCCAGGCUUUGCAGAAUGAAUGGUGGCACUCUACUAACCCCACUUAGCCUCACUGAGGCACUUAGCUUCUGCCCUGCCUUCCUCAGUUUGACUUUCCUCUUUUACCCUAUUCCUGCCUCAAUUCCUCCUUUGGCAAGUCACGCAAAGGAGGCCAGGAGGAAAAGUAGGCCAACCUCCCAGGACAGAGGAGACCAAACCACAAGGGUUCAAAAGGUGACUGGCCUAAUUCAUCUAGCUUCCCCAGGCUGACACCAGGGCCAUCUCUAAUGUUUUUGCUGCCCCAAGCAAAAAAAAGAGCACCACUCAGCCGUAACACUCCCCUGCAAGCGCUGCAGAACCUCCCCC